AUACGGAGGAUCCGAGCGUUAUCCGGAUUUAUUGGGUUUAAAGGGUGCGCAGGCGGCCAUUUAAGUCAGCGGUUAAAUCGUGGGGCUCAACCCCAUUCUGCCGUUGAUACUGGGUGGCUUGAUUGCGGUCGAGGUUGGCGGAAUUCGUUGUGGAGCGGGGAAAUGCAUAGAUAUGACGAAGAACACCGAUUGCGUAGGCAGCUGACCAGAACGCAAAAUGCCGCUAAGGACCGAAAGUGCGGGGAUCGACCGGAAUUGAUUCCCUUGGUAGUCCGCAAAGUAAACGUUAAAUCCUUGUUUUCGGCAUUAUAAUGUCGGAGGAAAACCGAAGCGAUAAGUAUUCCACCUGGGGAGUACGCCGGCAACGGUGAAACUCAAAGGAAUUGACGGGG
rnacentral:rRNA from 1 species